AUGAACGCUGGCGGCGUGCUUAACACAUGCAAGUCGAACGGAGUUUUAAUGAAUGAUUGAUUUAGCUUGCUAUUGAGAGAAUUCAUUAAAACUUAGUGGCGGACGGGUGAGUAACGCGUGAGUAAUCUACCUUCCAGUGCGGAAUAACAACCGGAAACAGUUGCUAAUACCGCAUGAAAUGGCAGCAUCGCAUGGUGCAACCAUCAAAGAUUUAUCGCUGGAAGAUGAGCUUGCGUCCGAUUAGAUAGUUGGCGGAGUAACAGCCCACCAAGUCGACGAUCGGUAGCCGGACUGAGAGGUUGAACGGCCACAUUGGAACUGAGAUACGGUCCAGACUCCUACGGGAGGCAGCAGUGGGGAAUAUUGGGCAAUGGGCGCAAGCCUGACCCAGCAACGCCGCGUGAGGGAAGAAGGCUUUCGGGUUGUAAACUUCUUUUAUGAGGGACGAUAGUGACGGUACCUCAUGAAUAAGCCACGGCUAACUACGUG
rnacentral:rRNA from 1 species